CGCAAGGUGCCAGCGAUCAUCGCCCAACCUGAUAUAUAGGUACAGAUCAAAGGCGGAUUUAGAGGUGAGGUAUUUUGGAUAUUGUACUUCUUAUACAUGAUACCUUGAACGAAUGUAUAGGAUGACUGCUGAUAUAACUGUCAAACUUCUGCUCACACUAUUAGUGAAGGAUGUUUUAUCUGAACCCUGCAUAACAUCAAAUGAAACGUUGAAGUAUGUUGACCACUGUCCAACGACCAGGAAGGAAUGGCAAGAGCAAUCUCUGCAGAAAAACUGCAAUAAGAUAAACCAGAACUGUACGUAGAGGAACAAUUUCCAGUACCACUGCUUAAUCAAUGAACUAGUAAAUCAAACAGUUGAAGUAUGUGCUCCAGUUACAGAAAUACUUGGGCAUAAAUGUGCAGAGUAUAACGUUAUUGGAACAAGAAUUCAGGAUAAUGCAGUUUUGAAUUGCACAGAUUGUCCAUUCAGAUUCAAUUCAAACGAGGCUUUUAAAUAUCAACAGUGCUACCAAAACGCCAUUCAACGCCAGGCAACAGAAAACGGGACUGGAGCGCAGUGUGAUAAUUUAACAGAAGACAAGGUCUCUUUUUUUGCCUGUCUCACUGCACUCGUAGUUUCAGUUGUCAUCAACAUUGCAUUUUGUGUCGCUUUUUCCUAUUUUCGACGACGGCAUCCAAAGAAAAAGAAGUC